rnacentral:rRNA from 1 species
UACAGAGGGGGCAAGCGCUGUUCGGAAUUACUGGGCGUAAAGGGCGCGUAGGCGGUGUGUCAAGUCAGGCGUGAAAGCCCCGGGCUCAACCUGGGAACCGCGCUUGAGACUGGCACGCUAGAGUUCGGGAGAGGAUGGUGGAAUUCCCAGUGUAGAGGUGAAAUUCGUAGAUAUUGGGAAGAACACCGAUGGCGAAGGCAGCCAUCUGGACCGACACUGACGCUGAGGCGCGAAAGCGUGGGGAGCGAACAGG